rnacentral:tRNA from 1 species
AAGGUAAAGCUUUUUUAGUUAAGCAUCUCACUUACGUUGGGAAGAUUUGUCGUGCAACUCGAUUUGCCUUA